AGUGAACGCUGGCGGUAGGCCUAACACAUGCAAGUCGAACGGCAGCACAGUAAGCGCUUGCUCUUACGGGUGGCGAGUGGCGGACGGGUGAGGCAUACAUCGGAAUCUACUUUUUCGUGGGGGAUAACGUAGGGAAACUUACGCUAAUACCGCAUACGACCUACGGGUGAAAGCAGGGGAUCUUCGGACCUUGCGCGAUUGAAUGAGCCGAUGUCGGAUUAGCUAGUUGGCGGGGUAAAGGCCCACCAAGGCGACGAUCCGUAGCUGGUCUGAGAGGAUGAUCAGCCACACUGGAACUGAGACACGGUCCAGACUCCUACGGGAGGCAGCAGUGGGGAAUAUUGGACAAUGGGCGCAAGCCUGAUCCAGCCAUACCGCGUGGGUGAAGAAGGUCUUCGGGUUGUAAAGCCCUUUUGUUGGGAAAGAAAAGCAGCAGGUUAAUACCCCGAUGUUCUGACGGUACCCAAAGAAUAAGCACCGGCUAACUUCGUG
rnacentral:rRNA from 1 species